rnacentral:misc_RNA from 1 species
GAUGAAGAACGCAGCGAAAUGCGAUAAGUAAUGUGAAUUGCAGAAUUCAGUUAAUCAUCGAAUCUUUGAACGCACCUUGCGCCCUUUGGCUAUUCCGAAGGGCAUGCCUGUUUGAGUAUCAUGAACACCUCAACUCUCAUGGUUUGCCAUGAUGAGCUUGGACUCUGGGGGUCUUGCUGGCCUAUGGUCAGCUCCUCUCAAAUAAAUCAGCUUGCCAGUGUUUGGUGGCAUCACAGGUGUGAUAACUAUCUACGCUUGUGGUUUUCCAUCAGGUAACCUUCAGUGAUGGAGGUUCGCUGGAGCUCAUAAAUGUCCCUCCUCAGCGAGGACAGCUUUUUGAACGUUUGAUCUCAAAUCAGGUAGGACUACCCGCUGAACUUAAGCAUAUCAAUAAGCGGAGGA